AGCUAAUCCAGUGGUGCUAAGAGUCCUAACCCGGCACUUGUUGAUCCCUUCGGGGUGAGACGGGCCGGUCUAACGCUCGACCCCAUGCUGGUGCGGUUAGCGUAUGAACAGGUGUGACGCAGGAAGGUAGCUGAGCCAGGCGAUGGUAUCCGUAAGGUGAACCUGGUGUAAGGAUGUAGGGCUGACGAUAGGCAAAUCCGUCGUCUGUACGCCUGAGAUCCGACGCGUACCCGUUAAGGGGAAAUCAGUGAUCCUAUGCUGCCGAGAAAAGCAUCGACGCGAGGUUGCAGCCGCCCGUACCCGAAACCGACUCAGGUGGUCAGGUAGAGAAUACCAAGGAGAUCGAGAUAAUCGUGGUUAAGGAACUCGGCAAAAUGCCCCCGUAACUUCGGGAGAAGGGGGGCCGGACACGUGACCGGAUUCACUCCGUGAGCGUUGAAGGCCGCAGAGACCAGUGGGAAGCGACUGUUUACUAAAAACACAGGUCCGUGCGAAGUCGCAAGACGAUGUAUACGGACUGACGCCUGCCCGGUGCUGGAAGGUUAAGAGGAAGGGUCAGCCUCACGGCGAAGCUCUGAAUUUAAGCCCCAGUAAACGGCGGUGGUAACUAUAACCAUCCUAAGGUAGCGAAAUUCCUUGUCGGGUAAGUUCCGACCUGCACGAAUGGCGUAACGACUUCCCAGCUGUCUCAACCGCGAACUCGGCGAAAUUGCACUACGAGUAAAGAUGCUCGUUACGCGCAGCAGGACGGAAAGACCCCGUGACCUUUACUAUAGUUUGGUAUUGGUGUUCGGAGUGGCUUGUGUAGGAUAGGUGGGAGACUGUGAAGCGGGCACGCUAGUGUUCGUGGAGUCAUUGUUGAAAUACCACUCUGGUCACUUUGGAUGUCUAACGUAGGACCCUGAUCGGGUUCAUGGACAGUGCCUGAUGGGUAGUUUAACUGGGGCGGUUGCCUCCCAAAGAGUAACGGAGGCGCCCAAAGGUUCCCUCAACCUGGUUGGCAAUCAGGUGGCGAGUGUAAGUGCACAAGGGAGCUUGACUGUGAGACUGACAGGUCGAGCAGGGACGAAAGUCGGGACUAGUGAUCCGGCAGUGGCUUGUGGAAGCGCUGUCGCUCAACGGAUAAAAGGUACCUCGGGGAUAACAGGCUGAUCUUGCCCAAGAGUCCAUAUCGACGGCAUGGUUUGGCACCUCGAUGUCGGCUCGUCGCAUCCUGGGGCUGGAGUAGGUCCCAAGGGUUGGGCUGUUCGCCCAUUAAAGCGGUACGCGAGCUGGGUUUAGAACGUCGUGAGACAGUUCGGUCCCUAUCCGCUGCGCGCGUUGGAAAUUUGAGAAGAUCUAUCCCUAGUACGAGAGGACCGGGAUGGACGAACCUCUGGUGUGUCAGUUGUUCUGCCAAGGGCACCGCUGAUUAGCUACGUUCGGACCGGAUAACCGCUGAAAGCAUCUAAGCGGGAAGCCGUCUUCGAGAUGAGAUUUCCAUGCACCUUGAGUGUGAGAGGCUCCCAGCAGACUACUGGGUUGAUAGGCCGGAUGUGGAAGCGGGGACUAACGACCCGUGGAGCUGACCGGUACUAAUAAGCCGAAGACUUGACACACA
rnacentral:rRNA from 1 species